rnacentral:rRNA from 1 species
UAAGUAGGCGGUGGAAAAUCAACCAAAUGGGAUUCCUUAAGUAAUUGCGAAUGAACAAGGAAAUGCUCAGCUUGAAAAAUGGGGCCUUUGACUUUGAGUUGUAAUUUUGAAAUGUAUUGCCAAUAGAGGUGCAAGUGCAAGCCUAUUGAAAGAAAGCGUCAAUGAGGGUGAGAUUCCUUUUUGUCAUUUGCAAUCCUCCAUGCACGGUAUAUGCUUGACGAGUCACACUCCUCGGCAUUGGAAUGCAAAAUGGGUGGUAAAUUCCAUGUAAAGGUAAAUAUAUUAUUGAGAUUGAUAGCAAACAAGUACCAUGAGGGAAAUAUGAAAA